GGACGACACCGGGACCCUUCCCCAACACAGCGGGGGACAUGGCACAGAGCCUCGGCCUCAAUGUGGACGCAGGUUUGCAGCCUCAGGAUAAAAGCAAGGAUCUAUACUGGUUUUAGAGCUGUCCUUCACUCUUCUUCCCCUGGCUCUCCCCUGUAGAUCUCUGCCUGUUAGACAUGGUGGCAUUCAGAGCUGAAAUCGGGUCAGUUUGUAACAGCUUCUGAUCUUGGUUUGCAGCUCGCCGUUACUCCUUCUGUGGUGGAUCCCUUCUGAGCUGAUGUGCUGACUCAAAGACUCCCAGAUCCCCCCUUGCCCUUUUCCAAGCCCACCGUGGCCCUGCAGCUCGGGGAAAGACAACGGGACUUAAAAGGACCUGGCAUUGCAAGGACGGUACUUUAGACUUAUUUCAGAGAGGAAAAUCCUUCUGUUGCAAGAGGAGAGCCAAAGACGUUGAACUUCUAUUUAAGCAGACCCCACACCCAGAACUGCAGUCGGACUACUCUAAAAGAGUCAAAUGACGUCAUGGAUGGUGAUGCAAAACCACUGGCCUUCGUACAGGGGGCAGAGGAAAUCAUGGGGGUUUUUUUUAGUGGUGUGAAUAUUUUUUUUAUGGCAGUGAAAAUUAUUUCUUGAAUGCAAACAUGGGAAAGCUACUUAGCAGUUUUGAACUGGAUUUUUACUUUACAUUACAGAAAAGUAAAAGGAGAAGAAACUGGAGCUCACGAACAUUUUUGGACUAUCAAGGAACUGGUGUGAUUUUUCAGCUUUGUGGUUGUGAGUGGCAAGUGUUUGGCCGGGGCCAGCUGCCCUGGGCUUACAGAGAUGCAGCUGUUCCACGCACAACUGCUCAAACCCCAGAAAGACGAAAACCAAGGUGGCACUUCUCAGAGUUUGGCACAACAUUUGCAUUGGAUAUAUAACGGUUGUUUGGUUGUGGUUUUUUGGCUUUUUUUUUACAAGAAACAUUUUCUGGUGAAAGUAAAACCCUCUUAAAGCAGGGGGAGGAAGGAAACCCGUGAAGAGCGGCUUGCCCUCAACCCAACAGCCUUUAAGGAGAACACCAGAAGGAAAGGCACGUGAUGGACAAUAGGUCUGAGUUGCCUCUAACAUUUCUCUUUGUCUACUUGUUGCUGUCAUUUUGUCACUUUAAUAGUUGUUUUGUUUUGUUUUUUUGAAAGGGGGAAAAAGAUAUCUAUUUAACAGUAGGAAAGCUGCAUUAAAGGUAUCUCCUUCUUUCACCCUGUGUGCUUUUAUGAAGAAUUAAAGCUAAAUAAGAGAAAUGAGGCAAACUGGAAACUUCAGGAUGAAAUAGGAAAAAUACCUGUCGUGUGGAUGAAGUGAGUUAUUUUAUUACUUUGUAUUAAAGAUAAAUAUAAAUCCUAGCAGCUGAAAAUAUUUUCUUAGUGAGUAAAAAAUAUGGUGAUAAAUACAAAAGACGAGAAAAUGCAAGAUUGUUGCAGUGCUACAUUUUAGUGUACGGCGUAUCUGUAAGAUGGGUUAAAGUAAGGGGGCUCCUCCGUAAUAACAGAUGUUUCUUCGUGAAGCUGAUAGGAGAGGGGACUGUAGCAUUUAGCAUUGCUAUUGCACUGGUAAACUAAAAUGCUAUUAUAGGGUGAUGAAUAAUUAAUGAAACAGUGCAGAAAUGGCAAUUUCCCCCUGUGCUUAAAAGCUGACUUUUUUACAGGCAAAACGUCUGAUCCCAACACUACCGUGCUUUGGGUUUUUUCUGUUUUUUUCUCGAUGUAAUGUCUUCGAAGGCUGACAAAGUUCAAUGCAUGUAAGAGAAAAGUCCUAACAUUACCCCUCUGACACUAGGAGAAGCCAUAGAAAAUGGACUUUUGAGCUGUGAUGAGAGUUUUUACCUUCCGCCACUCUCACAUAAUCUGGCAUAAUGUUUGCCACGUGUCAGAAAUGGAGUUAUGAAUAACCCAAACUUGCUUCUCCUAGGUUUCGGCUCAGCAAUACCUCCAUUUCUGGGAAAGAAUAGGAAUCCUAAUAGUAAGAUUAGUAGAUUAAAAUAAAGCAGUGUGAGUAUAUACUGUGAGAAGCUGGCAAGGAGCAAUGUGUGCAGAGCAUCCCCGGCCAGAGCUCGAUAAAUGGCAGGAGGUGACUUGCCGUGAUUCCUUCAGCCAGACGUACCCCUGAACAUUUCGCCCUCAGCCUCCAACUAGCCAGAGCCCAGACAAGCUGUAAAGGGCAAGGGAAGGGACUCCAGAAUUUAUAUGACCGGUUAAACCAAAAAUGUUCUGAGGCGUCUAUCAAGAAGGAAGGCAGCAGCACUUUGCAGGAGAAAAGUAACUAAAAAUGGCAUGUAGCGUUAUUGCUGCAGAGGCUUGGAGAUAACAGGAUCAUUCUGUGAGCAUUUGCCUGCGGGUUUUUUUAGGCUGUUUUUAAAGUUUUUUUACAAAAAGUGAUCUGGCUCUAUCAUUGGUUGUGCUUCACCACAAUCGUUCCUUUUUUCUUUCUUUUUUCCCCCUCUCUUCUGCAAUUCAUAAUGAGGAGGGCUGGGCAAUGCAGCCCAAAUACGUUUGGAAAUAUUCAUCUAAGCACAAACCAGCCAUUUACUUCAUUGGCAUUUACAAUUCAUUUUGACUGUGAACGUUUUCAAGCGUGAGAAUUUAUGCAAUGGAUACAUGAAUAUUGGUUU